ACCCGCUGAACUUAAGCAUAUCAAUAAGCGGAGGAAAAGAAACCAACAGGGAUUGCCUUAGUAACGGCGAGUGAAGCGGCAACAGCUCAAAUUUGAAAUCUGGCCUCUUUGGGGUCCGAGUUGUAAUUUGCAGAGGGCGCUUUGGCGUUGGCAGCGGUCCAAGUUCCUUGGAACAGGACGUCACAGAGGGUGAGAAUCCCGUACGUGGUCGCUAGCCUUCGCCGUGUAAAGCCCCUUCGACGAGCCGAGUUGUUUGGGAAUGCAGCUCUAAAUGGGAGGUAAAUUUCUUCUAAAGCUAAAUACUGGCCAGAGACCGAUAGCGCACAAGUAGAGUGAUCGAAAGAUGAAAAGCACUUUGGAAAGAGAGUCAAACAGCACGUGAAAUUGUUGAAAGGGAAGCGCUUGCAGCCAGACUUGCCUGUAGUUGCUCAUCCGGGCUUUUGCCCGGUGCACUCUUCUGCGGGCAGGCCAGCAUCAGUUUGGGCGGUUGGAUAAAGGUCUCUGUCAUGUACCUCUCUUCGGGGAGGCCUUAUAGGGGAGACGACAUGCAACCAGCCCAGACUGAGGUCCGCGCAUUUGCUAGGAUGCUGGCGUAAUGGCUGU
rnacentral:rRNA from 1 species